rnacentral:rRNA from 1 species
UCAGGUCACAUNCAAGUCGAGGGGCAGCACAGGAAGUAGCAAUACUGAUGUUGGCGACGGCGCACGGGUGAGUAACAAGUAUGCAACCUACCUUCCACAGGAGAAUAACCCCCGAAAAAAGGACUAAUAAUUCAUAAUACAGGGGUCCCGCAUGGGAAUAUUUGUUAAAAAUUUUUUUUGGUUGAAGAAGGGCCAUGGUUCCAUUAUAGUUGGGUGAGGUAACGGCUCACCAAGGCAACGAUGGAUAGGGGAACUGAGAGGUUUAUCCCCCACACUGGUACUGAGACACGGACCAGACUCCUACGGGAGGCAGCAGUGAGGAAUAUUGGUCAAUGGAGGCAACUCUGAACCAGCCACGUCGCGUGAAGGAAGACGGCCCUACGGGUUGUAAACUUUUUUUAUACNGNANUAAANUGAGUCANGNGAUNGNCAUNC